rnacentral:miRNA from 1 species
GUAUGUAUGUAUGUAUGUAUGUAUAAAUACAUACAUACAUACAUACAUACAUACAUACAUAC